rnacentral:rRNA from 2 species
UUGCCUUUUGUGAUACGCUUUCAAAGAGUCAGGUUGUUUGGGAAUGCAGCCUAAAUUGGGUGGUAAAUCUCACCUAAAGCUAAAUAUUGGCGAGAAACCGAUAGCGAACAAGUACCGUGAGGGAAAGAUGAAAAGAACUUUGAAAAGAGAGUUAAACAGUAUGUGAAAUUGUUAAAAGGGAACCGUUUGGAGCCAGACUGGCUUGUCUGUAAUCAAUCUAGGCUUCGGCCUGGAUGCACUUGCAGGCUAUGCCUGCCAACGACAAUUUGACUUGAGGGAAAAAACUAGGGGAAAUGUGGCCCACUUGUGGGUGUUAUAGUCCCUUAGAAAAUACCUUGGGUUGGAUUGAGGAACGCAGCGAAUGCUUAUUGGCGAGUUUUCCAGGAAGGUUUUCUGAGGUACUACGGUAUCAAGGUUGAUCUUUUUGGUUAUACUUCUAUUCGCUUAG